GAUGAACGCUGGCGGCGUGCCUAAUACAUGCAAGUCGAGCGAACAGACGAGGAGCUUGCUCCUCUGACGUUAGCGGCGGACGGGUGAGUAACACGUGGAUAACCUACCUAUAAGACUAGGAUAACUUCGGGAAACCGGAGCUAAUACCGGAUAAUAUAUUGAACCGCAUGGUUCAAUAGUGAAAGACGGUUUUGCUGUCACUUAUAGGUGGAUCCGCGCCGCAUUAGCUAGUUGGUAAGGUAACGGCUUACCAAGGCGACGAUGCGUAGCCGACCUGAGAGGGUGAUCGGCCACACUGGAACUGAGACACGGUCCAGACUCCUACGGGAGGCAGCAGUAGGGAAUCUUCCGCAAUGGGCGAAAGCCUGACGGAGCAACGCCGCGUGAGUGAUGAAGGUCUUCGGAUCGUAAAACUCUGUUAUUAGGGAAGAACAAAUGUGUAAGUAACUAUGCACGUCUUGACGGUACCUAAUCAGAAAGCCACGGCUAACUACGUG
rnacentral:rRNA from 1 species